GAUGAACGCUGGCGGCGUGCCUAAUACAUGCAAGUCGAGCGAACAGACCAGGAGCUUGCUCCUCUGACGUUAGCGGCGGACGGGUGAGUAACACGUGGAUAACCUACCUAUAAGACUGGGAUAACUUCGGGAAACCGGAGCUAAUACCGGAUAAUAUAUUGAACCGCAUGGUUCAAUAGUGAAAGACGGUUUUGCUGUCACUUAUAGAUGGAUCCGCGCCGCAUUAGCUAGUUGGUAAGGUAACGGCUUACCAAGGCAACGAUGCGUAGCCGACCUGAGAGGGUGAUCGGCCACACUGGAACUGAGACACGGUCCAGACUCCUACGGGAGGCAGCAGUAGGGAAUCUUCCGCAAUGGGCGAAAGCCUGACGGAGCAACGCCGCGUGAGUGAUGAAGGUCUUCGGAUCGUAAAACUCUGUUAUUAGGGAAGAACAAAUGUGUAAGUAACUAUGCACGUCUUGACGGUACCUAAUCAGAAAGCCACGGCUAACUACGUG
rnacentral:rRNA from 1 species